rnacentral:piRNA from 1 species
UGGGAUGAAGCCUACUUCGUCAUGAUGG